rnacentral:rRNA from 1 species
AAAAAAAAAACGAUUCAUACGCGGCCUGACUCGCCCGUCGUUGACAUCGCAGCCCGCACGAGAACACGAGGGUUCCGCCGCCGCCGCACCCACAUCCAUCCUCUCCGCGAUGCCCGUCCUCGCUCCGCCGUCGUCGAAUCCGGUCGAGCUCGUCAGGAUUCGCCGCAUCUCGCGCGACGCCCAUCCCGUGCACCCAGCCCCCGCUAACGACGGGCGCCCAGCACCAUCGACGGCGCGCGCCUCCAGCAUCCACCUCCCUAGGAGAGCUCCUCCUGCCUCCGGCGGAGGCGCAUGAGCCGAGCCCGGCCAUAACACGCCCGUGGCCGUGGCCAACAACAACCUCCAGGCUGCAUCAGCGUUCGGUGGCCAACUCUUGAUGGAUUUCCAAUGUGCCUCCGGCCUCCCAUUUUUUUUUCAGAAUCUACUCCAAUGAGUGAAUCAUAGCCACCAAUAAACAGGCACCCAGUGAAGAUGUCACACUUUGAUGUGAAGUGCCUGAGAUCACAUUCAUCACUAGGAAGGUUCAAGAUGUUCCGCAUCAAAGGCGUCGGCAGUGCUACAAGAGUUGAAGAAAGACGAGGUUUUGGUGUUGUUACUACUAUCUGUGAAGUGUCAAACCUGCCGAAGAAGGCAUGCCUAUUUUUCUCGUUGUGUUCUGAUGCCGAUAAAUAAACCCAAGUGUGAGAAAAAUGUUGGCGAACAGAUAACAAAAGCUAUCCGGACUGAUGUCAGAAAAUUAUUAUGGUAACAAUAAACUAUACUAUGUUUUAGGGAACUAUAAAACAAAGUCGUUUACUGUGGUAGAAAAAAGUAGUACAGUCAAUCAUGUACCUUUACAACAGAGAAACAGGGGAUAUGCUGUGGAAAAAACGGCAUAUGAUAAAAGCACAGACUUAAAAUGAAUGCUCAUGUUUUCUUCCUAUAAAAGAGAACUCUUAUCAUAUUAUGAUUGAUUACAAGGACUACACUUAAUUGAUUUGUUUUCUGUUAGGAAGAAAAUAUGUUGUUGAUGGGGAUUUUAAAAAGCUUGAGGUGGUACCGAACGGGAAACAGUUCAUGGAGUUAUUUGAGGUAUCAUCCUUUUGAUAUAGAGGUGGCAUUCCCAUUGUGUAUUACAAACUUGAACUGGUAAUGGAUGUAUGGCUUCAUGUAUCUUCAUCUCUAUUUGGAUGAUUUGGAACCUUCCAAACUGAACUUGAACACUUUCAUGCUUCUGAACUAAAUUUUGAAGACAUGCAGGCAACUUCAUUUCAAGCAUCAGGUUGACUUGAGGCCUGACACCGGUGAGGCCAGAGACGGCAGUUCAAGGCGGUGGCCGUUGACAACGGCCAGGAAGCUAGAAAAAACUAGCACGUCUCUCUCCCUCGCGUGAGUGUUGAAUCAGUCCUGUGAAAUUUCUAUGCCCAAUAUGUGCCCGGGCGUCGCCGCCACUCCGUGCCUGCCACAACGUCAGCCCUCCCGUUUCUGCACUGUCGCCACCACCGGCCGGUAGCCCGUGCAGCCACCUCAAGCAUCCUCCACCGCCCAUGCCAUGUCCCCGAUGUAACGCGGGAUCUGCCUCAUGGGCGAGGAAACCAGAACCUUGGCCGCCAUCUCACAUGCGACGGCGUGCACCUCAGUGUGCGGUGAGAAUGAUGCAUUUUCCCAAUGGAAGAUCUUUCUUCAGCUAACUUAAUGUUCUUACAAGGAUAGUUUACAAGAUCGUGGUAUUAUUGUAACAGCAGUAGCCAUGGAGACAUCAGGUGAUCCUUAUGAGCAGAACUAUCAUGACGUCAAUAGAAUUCAUAAACUUGCAGUUUAUUUGCUCUAUUC